AUUGAACGCUGGCGGCAUGCCUUACACAUGCAAGUCGAACGGCAGCACGGGGCAACCUGGUGGCGAGUGGCGAACGGGUGAGUAAUGCAUCGGAACGUACCUUUCAGUGGGGGAUAACGUAGCGAAAGUUACGCUAAUACCGCAUAUUCUGUGAGCAGGAAAGCAGGGGAUCGCAAGACCGUGCGCUGGUUGAGUGGCCGAUGUCAGAUUAGCUAGUUGGUGAGGUAAAGGCUCACCAAGGCGACGAUCUGUAGCGGGUCUGAGAGGAUGAUCCGCCACACUGGAACUGAGACACGGUCCAGACUCCUACGGGAGGCAGCAGUGGGGAAUUUUGGACAAUGGGGGCAACCCUGAUCCAGCCAUGCCGCGUGAGUGAAGAAGGCCUUCGGGUUGUAAAGCUCUUUCGGCCGGGAAGAAAUCGCACGGGCUAAUACCCUGUGUGGAUGACGGUACCGGAAUAAGAAGCACCGGCUAACUACGUGCCAGCAGCCGCAGUAA
rnacentral:rRNA from 1 species